AGCUCGUGUCGUGAGAUGUUGGGUUAAGUCCCGCAACGAGCGCAACCCCUACGUUUAGUUGCUAACGCGUGAAGGCGAGCACUCUAGACGAACUGCCGUUGACAAAACGGAGGAAGGUGGGGAUGACGUCAAAUCAUCAUGCCCCUUAUGUUCUGGGCUACACACGUGCUACAAUGGCCGGUACAGACGGACGCAAAGCCGCGAGGCGGAGCAAAUCCGAAAAAGACCGGUCUCAGUUCGGAUUGCAGGCUGCAAUUCGCCUGCAUGAAGUCGGAAUCGCUAGUAAUCGCAGGUCAGCAUACUCGCGGUCCGAAUACGUUCCCGGGCCUU
rnacentral:rRNA from 1 species